rnacentral:rRNA from 1 species
UACGUAGGGAGCAAGCGUUAUCCGGAUUUAUUGGGUGUAAAGGGUGCGUAGACGGGAAGGUAAGUUAGUUGUGAAAUCCCUCGGCUCAACUGAGGAACUGCGACUAAAACUGCUUUUCUUGAGUGCUGGAGAGGAAAGUGGAAUUCCUAGUGUAGCGGUGAAAUGCGUAGAUAUUAGGAGGAACACCAGUGGCGAAGGCGACUUUCUGGACAGUAACUGACGUUGAGGCACGAAAGUGUGGGGAGCAAACAGG